UGCUUCUGAUUAGUUUCAUUAGUCAUGGAGGAAGGGAGGAGGGUAUCAGCUCAGGGUAGGGGCAGGCAUCAGGCCGGAUCUCUGAGGGAGAGGGGACAGGAGCAGAGUUUAUUCCUGGGGAGACUGCCAGACAGAGGGCUGGGAGCACACAUUCCACUUCACACGGGUACAGCACCGUCAGCCUGGCCCAGGCCCUGCCAUAGGAGAUGACCAGGCAGGCCCAGAUCUGGGAGAAAAUCAAGCAGGAUGGGAUGGGGAAGGAGCCCACAGGGGACCAGGGCGUGGGGGCCUGUGCCUCACCUUUGACAUCGCCAUGCAGAAUCCUUCGGGUGUGGAGGUACUCCAGGCCUUCCAGAGCCUGGCCCAGGUAGUAAAGGGCCCGGUCUUCCGGGAGACAGCCCUUCUGCUUUAUGAGCUGGCCCAGCGAGCCACCUAGGAGACCAAUGGCCAGUCUUUACAUGUGGCUUUUCCAGGCCUCCAAGCAUGCCAGGGGCAAGGGACUUCACAGGGCAGGCGGUGGAAAGCAGGCCUUUUCUGCUGAUGUCACAGGGUCAAGAGGCUAAAAAUGGAUUGACUGGGGAUCUAGGCAAGACUUGGGGAAACCUUGGCCCAGAAUUUUGAGGGAGAAAGAGUGGCACCUGGCUUUUUACCUUCUAGUAGUUCCAUGAAGAUGUUGACCCAAGGACCUUCCUUCACAGCUCCAUACAAAGGGACGAUUCUGGGUGAGGUCAGUCCUGCGCAUGCCAUCAACUCCUCUGCCCGAAACACUUCUACUCGCACCUGGAAGGGCCCAGAGGUGGCUGCAAGUCAGGGUAGAUCACGUCCCCUAAGUGGUGUUUCCACAUGCAAAUGAUGGCGAUACUGGCAUCUGAUCCUGUGAGAGAGGACUUGGAGGGAUAACAACCAGCAACAGGCCUGGUGACCAGUGGGUGACUUUCUCCCUCCAGCUCAAAUAAGAACCACUUAUUAAACACCUGGACUUCCUACUAAAGACUUGUCCUCCUUUGGGGCUGUGGCUGAUUUUCCUGUUAGCUUGGAGAGGUACCACCAGUGGGCACCAGGGGGCACAAAAGCGGCCUCUUAUAAAUCAGUCAGGACUGGGCAGGGUUUUGUUGGGAGACCUGCUGACUCGGCAAACAGCAGCUCUGCCGAUGUGGCGCUUUGGGGCUAUUGGACUUUUGCCUGUCAGUGGGAAAUGUCUCUCUUCUGGUUACUUACAAAAUAUCUGGGUUGGUUAGUCAACUUAUAUCAAGUCUGACUCUGUCAGUGUUUCCAGCUCUGAACCUGAGUUGGAACUAACUCACCAACAGGAUUUGUGUUUGUACACGUCUUUGACCCUACUGCUUCUGAGCUGUGAGUUGAAAUGAAGCACCUUGGGAUGCUACAGGCAAUUUUACAUUGGAAAGAAAGAGCGAUGAUGGAUAUUUGCAGGAUGCUUUGUAAACUACUAGCAUAAGGUAGUUCUGUUUCAAUAUUAGAUCAUUAUGCAGUCUCUGAUGAUAUAUUUUUAUGUAAGUUUUGGAGGGUGUUGUGACAAAAAAGGUACUUCAGGGAAAAUGUGGAGCAGGAAAUGAAGGUGAAUGGUGUCCAGUCUGAUUUCAAAGUUCGAGAAGGUGGGCAGGCCAAUGAGGCAUACCUCCCAUUAGUAAUUAUGGUUGAGAACAGAAGAAAAAAUUUUCAACUUGAGUGUAUUGUUAUUCAAAUGGUGACUAAGUUGUUAGGAUAAAGACUUAUUUGACUUGAUUAUGUAAUAAAUGGAACUGUCAUGUACUUGUUUUGGCCUGGGGUGCCAUGAAAAAUUAAGAGCUGUAAACCAGGAAAGUUUGGGAAUCUCUGAUUUAACUUUUAAGAAAUCCUUCAAUCCUCCAGAGUGUCCCAGCGAUGUUAAAAACCUUCCCACUUACCCAGACCAGAGGGGAUCAGAGGGGCAGGGUGCUUUAGAAGAGUGUGCCAGCCCCCAGGAGAGCAAGCUGGAAGGGCAGUCCCGAGGGAGACAGGUGGUGAGAAAGCACCUGGGCCUUCUAGCCCACCUCUCCUCUCUGGACUUCAGUGUUCCCACCUGUAAAGUGAGGGGCUGAACUGUGCUGAAGAUGUUAACAAGAGCUAAUAUUUAAUGCCUACUUACAUGCCAGGCACUAUUCUAAGCACUUGAUAAGCAUUAGUUAUUUAUAACUUACAAUAUAGCCUAUGAGGUGGUAUUCUCAUUAUCUCUAUUUUACAGACAGAAGCUGAAGCCUGGACAAGCAAGCUGCCCAAGGUCACUGGGUAUAAAGUAUCAGAGCUGGGAUUGUGGUUGGGGAAGCCUGACUCCAGAGCUGCCGGCUACCCUGCCUCACCAAAGGCCAUUCCAGGUGUAUUAGCCUUUAAAUCCUAACGUUUUUACAGACACCCAGGAGUGAGCACACCUGGAUGGAAGUGUGCUCAGCAAUCACCUAAUUGCCAAAGCCACAAGCCACGAGCCACCUCUCUCUGCCUAAUGAUUUUCCAGCUGAUAAUCCCGAAGGACACUACUGCCUGCCAGACCCUCUCCACGUGAAAGAAGCCAUCCCCACUAGACUGCGCUGGAGGAGGCGGAGGUCUAAGCGGUGGCUCCGGUGGGCUCGAGCAGCUGCUCUGGCUCUCAGGGGUCUGUGUGCUUGGAGGUUUUCUGACUGGCUUGGGAGGGGUCCUGAGCCUCACCUGUGCGCAGCUGCCCUUGCACAAGGACUGCACCUGCCUGCAGACCCAGCCGCCCGCCCACCCUGCCACCAGCCCUGAUCCGGGCCCCUUACAUUCAGCCUGGGCAAUGAUGGAGAUGGC